rnacentral:tRNA from 1 species
GCGGGCGUAGCUCAGCGGUAGAGCGCCGUGUUUACACCGCGGAUGUCGUAGGUUCGAACCCUGCCGCCCGCA